rnacentral:pre_miRNA from 1 species
CUUCUACUCCAUCUGUUCGGAAUUACUUGUCGCAGAAAUGGAUGUAUCUAGACGUAUUUUAGUUCUAGAUACAUCCAUUUGUCGCAGAAAUGGAUGUAUCUAGACGUAUUUUAGUUCUAGAUACAUCCAUUUUCGCGACAAAUAAUUCCGAACGGAGGGAUUAUCUA